GAUGAAGAACGUAGCGAAAUGCGAUACGUAGUGUGAAUUGCAGAAUUCAGUGAAUCAUCGAAUCUUUGAACGCACAUUGCGCCCGCCAGUAUUCUGGCGGGCAUGCCUGUUCGAGCGUCAUUUCCACCAUCAGGCCCCCGGGCCUGUGUUGGGGACCUGCGGCUGCCCGCAGGCCCCGAAAUUCAGUGGCGGUCGCGCCGUAGCAACCGAGCGUAGUAACUAAAACGUCUCGCUCUGGCUCGCUGGGCGCGCUCCGGCCGUAAAACACCCCCCCUUGUCGCAAAGGUUGACCUCGGAUCAGGUAGGAAUACCCGCUGAACUUAAGCAUAUCAAUAAGCGGAGGA
rnacentral:misc_RNA from 1 species